rnacentral:rRNA from 1 species
GACGAACGCUGGCGGCGUGCUUAACACAUGCAAGUCGAACGGAAAGGCCCUGCUUUUGUGGGGUGCUCGAGUGGCGAACGGGUGAGUAACACGUGAGUAACCUGCCCUUGACUUUGGGAUAACUUCAGGAAACUGGGGCUAAUACCGGAUAGGAGCUCCUGCUGCAUGGUGGGGGGUGGAAAGUUUCUGCGGUUGGGGAUGGACUCGCGGCUUAUCAGCUUGUUGGUGGGGUAGUGGCUUACCAAGGCUUUGACGGGUAGCCGGCCUGAGAGGGUGACCGGCCACAUGGGGACUGAGAUACGGCCCAGACUCCUACGGGAGGCAGCAGUGGGGAAUAUUGCACAAUGGGCGGAAGCCUGAUGCAGCAACGCCGCGUGCGGGAUGACGGCCUUCGGGUUGUAAACCGCUUUCGCCUGUGACGAAGCGUGAGUGACGGUAAUGGGUAAAGAAGCACCGGCUAACUACGUG